rnacentral:rRNA from 1 species
AACGUGUCCUGAGGUGGGGGACAACCCCGGGAAACUGGGGCUAAUACCGCAUAUGGGCUGAGGCCCAAAGCCGAGAGGCGCCUUUGGAGCGGCCUGCGUCCGAUUAGGUAGUUGGUGGGGUAAAGGCCUACCAAGCCUGCGAUCGGUAGCUGGUCUGAGAGGACGACCAGCCACACUGGGACUGAGACACGGCCCAGACUCCUACGGGAGGCAGCAGUGGGGAAUAUUGGACAAUGGGCGAAAGCCUGAUCCAGCAAUGCCGCGUGGGUGAAGAAGGUCUUCGGAUCGUAAAGCCCUUUCGACGGGGACGAUGAUGACGGUACCCGUAGAAGAAGCCCCGGCUAACUUCGU